GACGAACGCUGGCGGCGUGCCUAAUACAUGCAAGUUGAGCGCUGAAGGUUGGUACUUGUACCGACUGGCUGAGCAGCGAACGGGUGAGUAACGCGUGGGGAAUCUGCCUUUGAGCGGGGGACAACAUUUGGAAACGAAUGCUAAUACCGCAUAAAAACUUUAAACACAAGUUUUAAGUUUGAAAGAUGCAAUUGCAUCACUCAAAGAUGAUCCCGCGUUGUAUUAGCUAGUUGGUGAGGUAAAGGCUCACCAAGGCGAUGAUACAUAGCCGACCUGAGAGGGUGAUCGGCCACAUUGGGACUGAGACACGGCCCAAACUCCUACGGGAGGCAGCAGUAGGGAAUCUUCGGCAAUGGACGAAAGUCUGACCGAGCAACGCCGCGUGAGUGAAGAAGGUUUUCGGAUCGUAAAACUCUGUUGGUAGAGAAGAACGUUGGUGAGAGUGGAAAGCUCAUCAAGUGACGGUAACUACCCAGAAAGGGACGGCUAACUACGUG
rnacentral:rRNA from 1 species